UACGUAGGGUGCGAGCGUUGUCCGGAAUUAUUGGGCGUAAAGGGCUCGUAGGCGGUCUGUCGCGUCGGGAGUGAAAACUCAGGGCUUAACCCUGAGCCUGCUUCCGAUACGGGCAGACUAGAGGUAUGCAGGGGAGACUGGAAUUCCUGGUGUAGCGGUGAAAUGCGCAGAUAUCAGGAGGAACACCGGUGGCGAAGGCGGGUCUCUGGGCAAUAACUGACGCUGAGGAGCGAAAGCGUGGGGAGCGAACAGG
rnacentral:rRNA from 1 species